AUCCUGCUGCGCUGCGAGAUGAUGGAAACCAACUCUUCCAGACAAAAUGGGACAGAAUCCCGACAAAAUCAAAUUUUUCUGUUCUUCCUCGAUUUUUUAUUAGAAAACGCAGCUGCACGUGUAGGUGUGGUGUAGCAAAAUGGCUGUAGAACAGCAGCGGCAGUGUCCUACAGCGAGACGCAGCUGGAUCUUCCAGGCCAGUGGUGUCAGCCAACCAGCCAGCUCUGUCCUCCCUCCCCUCCCUCCUACAAGCCUCAUUAUGAGAGGGAGAAAGCUCAAGGAUACCCUCUCCUCCCCCAACUCCCACUGCACCAUGGCCGUGGAGAGAGAGAGAGGUGGGAAAAAAAACGAGUCAGGUGCUAAAUGUGAACGUGGAUUAGUUUCUAUGCCAACGGCGGGAGGACGCACUCACGCAACCAGCCAGCCAGGGUCCCUGCAAGACACUUGUUUUUGUCCCUCUUGUUUUCUCUCCUCGCCUGCCCUCCCCUCCUCUUCCCUCCCCUCUCCUCUCCGUGCUCUCUCUAUCAGUAGGGGAGAUAAGACUGGGCCCUGUGCCUGGUAUUAAACCUUAUCUCUCCAGCUGGGGCUAAGGCCUGCUGGAUUUGGCUACACGGGCGCUCCAGUUCAACUCAAACAUGCCUUGUUUUAAUGGCCACCCAUUAGCGUCACUUGCCACCAGGAGGCUUGACGUGAUCUAAAAUGGUCUGUUGAGUUUUUAGUUUCCAUCCUGUGCAGGUUGUGGCUGGUUACCAAGUCUUAAAAUGUGUAUAACCUUUCUCUGAACUUUUAUAUGCAAACAGAUAAAUAUUUUAAUUGAUGUACAAGACUUUUCCCCAUGCUGUUCACGCUGCCUUUCCAUUGGAACUACAGCCAACAUUUUCUUUGUGUGAUAUUUCCUCCUGAUGCUGCUGCCCCUCUCUCUAUAAGGGCUGAGAGAGAUGGAGAGACGCUGGGUGGGAGGGAGGGAGGUAGGUUGGGUGGGGAGCGAUAGACAGGAAAGAGGAGAGAGACAGACAAGCGAGAGAGAGACAGGGGCAAAGAAAGCUAGGGGAGAAAUCAGGAGAAGGAGACAGAGGAGAGGAGAUGGGAGGGGAGGGGAGGAAGGUGCACACACAUACACUCAGGCAGGCAGGCAGAAAAGCAAGCAGGAAAGGGUUAAGGUGAAAACAAUAACAAGGGGAGCGGGGAGCGUGCGUCUGUGUGCGCCUCCCUGGAAGUGUCAGGCUCUCUGUUCAUUGACAGUGUCGUGCACCCGCCGCCCCGAGAGCGCCGGCAGCCUCACAAAGACAGACAGCUCGAAUUAAUCCCACGGGGGGAGUGCGUGACAGUUUGGCAGAGCGGAGAAUUGAAAGGGAGGAGGAUGCCGAGAAUGGGGAAGGCGCGAGCAUUUGUCAAAUCAUAAUUAAAUGAUGAAUCACUAUUCCGUUAUUAACGAUAUGCCCACCCGAACCUUCCUUGUAACAAAAAAAAGAAAGAAAAAAAAGAUGGAAAUGGAGAAAUGAACGACCAUCGGCACUGUGGCCACUGAAAAAUAGAGGAUUUAUUGCUGGCUGCUCUUACUUUACAGGGUUGUGGUUACACACAAAGUACUAGUUUGUUGUUAAAGGUUUGCAGUCUUUUCUAUACACAAAAUCAUGACAGUUUGAAAACAUAUAAUUAGAGCAAAUAUCUUUAAAAUGUCUUUGAAAUCAUCAUCAACAAACACAGUGAUUAGAUAUAAGAAA